CAGUACCGUGAGGGAAAGGCGAAAAGAACCCCGGCGAGGGGAGUGAAAAAGAACCUGAAACCGUGUACGUACAAGCAGUGGGAGCACCUUCGGGUGUGACUGCGUACCUUUUGUAUAAUGGGUCAGCGACUUAUAUUCUGUAGCAAGGUUAACCGUAUAGGGGAGCCGCAGGGAAACCGAGUCUUAACUGGGCGUUAAGUUGCAGGGUAUAGACCCGAAACCCGGUGAUCUAGCCAUGGGCAGGUUGAAGGUUGGGUAACACUAACUGGAGGACCGAACCGACUAAUGUUGAAAAAUUAGCGGAUGACUUGUGGCUGGGGGUGAAAGGCCAAUCAAACCGGGAGAUAGCUGGUUCUCCCCGAAAGCUAUUUAGGUAGCGCCUCGUGAAUUCAUCUUCGGGGGUAGAGCACUGUUUCGGCUAGGGGGUCAUCCCGACUUACCAACCCGAUGCAAACUGCGAAUACCGGAGAAUGUUAUCACGGGAGACACACGGCGGGUGCUAACGUCCGUCGUGAAGAGGGAAACAACCCAGACCGCCAGCUAAGGUCCCAAAGUCAUGGUUAAGUGGGAAACGAUGUGGGAAGGCACAGACAGCCAGGAUGUUGGCUUAGAAGCAGCCAUCAUUUAAAGAAAGCGUAAUAGCUCACUGGUCGAGUCGGCCUGCGCGGAAGAUGUAACGGGGCUAAACCAUGCACCGAAGCUGCGGCAGCGACACUAUGUGUUGUUGGGUAGGGGAGCGUUCUGUAAGCCUGCGAAGGUGACCUGUGAGGGUUGCUGGAGGUAUCAGAAGUGCGAAUGCUGACAUAAGUAACGAUAAAGCGGGUGAAAAGCCCGCUCGCCGGAAGACCAAGGGUUCCUGUCCAACGUUAAUCGGGGCAGGGUGAGUCGACCCCUAAGGCGAGGCCGAAAGGCGUAGUCGAUGGGAAACAGGUUAAUAUUCCUGUACUUGGUGUUACUGCGAAGGGGGGACGGAGAAGGCUAUGUUAGCCGGGCGACGGUUGUCCCGGUUUAAGCAUGUAGGCUGAUUGUCCAGGCAAAUCCGGAUAAUCAAGGCUGAGGUGUGAUGACGAGGCACUACGGUGCUGAAGUAACAAAUGCCCUGCUUCCAGGAAAAGCCUCUAAGCAUCAGGUAACAUCAAAUCGUACCCCAAACCGACACAGGUGGUCAGGUAGAGAAUACCAAGGCGCUUGAGAGAACUCGGGUGAAGGAACUAGGCAAAAUGGUGCCGUAACUUCGGGAGAAGGCACGCUGGUGUGUAGGUGAAGUCCCUGCGGAUGGAGCUGAGACCAGUCGAAGAUACCAGCUGGCUGCAACUGUUUAUUAAAAACACAGCACUGUGCAAACACGAAAGUGGACGUAUACGGUGUGACGCCUGCCCGGUGCCGGAAGGUUAAUUGAUGGGGUUAUCCGUAAGGAGAAGCUCUUGAUCGAAGCCCCGGUAAACGGCGGCCGUAACUAUAACGGUCCUAAGGUAGCGAAAUUCCUUGUCGGGUAAGUUCCGACCUGCACGAAUGGCGUAAUGAUGGCCAGGCUGUCUCCACCCGAGACUCAGUGAAAUUGAACUCGCUGUGAAGAUGCAGUGUACCCGCGGCAAGACGGAAAGACCCCGUGAACCUUUACUAUAGCUUGACACUGAACAUUGAGCCUUGAUGUGUAGGAUAGGUGGGAGGCUUUGAAGCGUGGACGCCAGUCUGCGUGGAGCCAACCUUGAAAUACCACCCUUUAAUGUUUGAUGUUCUAACGUUGGCCCCUUACCGGGGUUGCGGACAGUGUCUGGUGGGUAGUUUGACUGGGGCGGUCUCCUCCCAAAGCGUAACGGAGGAGCACGAAGGUUAGCUAAUCCUGGUCGGACAUCAGGAGGUUAGUGCAAUGGCAUAAGCUAGCUUGACUGCGAGCGUGACGGCGCGAGCAGGUGCGAAAGCAGGUCAUAGUGAUCCGGUGGUUCUGAA
rnacentral:rRNA from 1 species